rnacentral:rRNA from 1 species
GACGAACCGUGCGAACGUUGUUCGGAAUCACUGGGCUUAAAGGGCGCGUAGGCGGCCCGCCGCGUCCGGGGUGAAAUCCUCCCGCUCAACGGGAGAACGGCCUCGGAUACGGGCGGGCUGGAGGCGGGUAGGGGCGGGCGGAACUGUGGGUGGAGCGGUGAAAUGCGUUGAUAUCCACAGGAACUCCGGUGGCGAGGGCGGCCCGCUGGACCCGAUCUGACGCUGAGGCGCGAAAGCCAGGGGAGCGAACGGG